CCUUAUCUUCAGUUGCUACCAUUUAGUUGAGCACUCUGACGAAACCGCCUCGGAUAACGGGGAGGAAGGUGGGGAUGACGUCAAGUCCUCAUGGCCUUUAUGUCCAGGGCUACACACGUGCUACAAUGGCCGGUACAAACCGCUGCAACCCCGCGAGGGUGAGCUAAUCGGAAAAAGCCGGCCUCAGUUCGGAUUGGAGUCUGCAACUCGACUCCAUGAAGCUGGAAUCGCUAGUAAUCGUGGAUCAGCAUGCCACGGUGAAUACGUUCCCGGGCCUUGUACACACCGCCCGU
rnacentral:rRNA from 1 species